UCCGGGUGAAAUAGGAGCGCCCAAAACUUCCUCGUCUUCCACAAAUACGCGAAAAUGUGCGCUCGUCAAACAAGAACCGGAAGUUUUGUCGUCCAGGCAGAUCCGGGGCCCGAUCACAUUGGCCGCCCCACUCGUCAUCUUGAAGGCAAGGUGUCCAAAGGGACACGGCUUGAGCAGCCCACACUUGUUCGUGGCUGGCUCCGGGGCUGAAGACACAAGAGCACAAUAUCAGGCAACUGGAAAGCAAUGAAGACAACCACGAUGAAGCCAAGGGCGAACACUACCGACCUGAGAAGAACUGGAAAGGAAAACCAUAGCAACUCAUGACGAACACUUCAAAUACCAUUUCAGUUCCACAAAAUAU